rnacentral:sRNA from 1 species
UACAAUGGUAUUUGCUUAAAGCCACUGA